rnacentral:rRNA from 1 species
ACGUAGGGGGCAAGCGUUGCUCGGAAUUACUGGGCGUAAAGGGUGUGUAGGUGGCUGAUUAAGUUAAGGAUGAAAUCCCGAGGCUCAACUUCGGAACUGUCCUUGAUACUGGUCAGCUUGAGGCUAGUAAAGGAGAGCGGAAUUCCCGGUGGAGGGGUGAAAUGCGUAGAUAUGAGACAGAAAAACAGAGGAGAAGGCGGUUCUCUAAGCUAGUUCUGAUACUGAGCCACGAGAGCUAGGGGACCACAAAG